rnacentral:rRNA from 1 species
AGAGUUUGAUCCUGGCUCAGAACGAACGCUGGCGGCGCGCCUAACACAUGCAAGUCGAACGGGGUGCUUAGAGCUGAUCACUUCGGUGUGAAGCACUUUGUUACCUAGUGGCGGACGGGUGAGUAACACAUAGGUAACCUGCCCUUAGGUUUGGGAUACUCCCGGGAAACCGGGCACAAUACUGAAUAUCAUUGCAAGACUCUGUUUUGUAAUGAAAGCUGCGAGCAAUCGUGGCGCCUAGGGAUGGGCCUGUGGCCUAUCAGCUUGUUGGUGAGGUAAUGGCUCACCAAGGCUAAGACGGGUAGCCGGACUGAGAGGUCGAUCGGCCACACUGGAACUGAGACACGGUCCAGACUCCUACGGGAGGCAGCAGUGGGGAAUUUUGCGCAAUGGGCGAAAGCUUGACGCAGCGACGCCGCGUGGGGGAAGAAGGCCUUUGGGUUGUAAACUCCUUUAGUAUGGGAAGAAGUCCCGAGCAAUCGGGAUGACGGUACCGUAAGAAUAAGCCACGGCUAACUCUGUGCCAGCAGCCGCGGUAAGACAGAGGUGGCAAGCGUUGUUCGGAUUUACUGGGCUUAAAGGGCGUGUAGGCGUCUUGAUAAGUCAGAUGUGGAAGCCUUGGGCUUAACCCAAGAAGUGCAUUUGAAACUGUCGAGAUUGAGUCGUGCA